UACAUGAAAGAAAAAUUUAAUAGAUUUUAUAAAAAGAAAAAUACUUACAAAAGUGAGAAGGAAAAAAAAAUGAAAAUAAGGAACAAGUCCUCUCGGUGGGACACUCAACAUAAAACUCUUUUUUUUCUUCUUUCCAAGAACAAAGCAUCCCUUGUUCUUGGUUUUUCUACUCCCCUUGCCCAGCCGAGAGCCCCUCCCUCCCCUUCUUUUUCUUUCUUCUUCUCGGGUCCCCCCCGUCUCCCCUUUUGAACCAGCCGAGAACCUCCCCUUUCCUCCUUCUUCUCCUCUCUUUAAAUAGGUCGCCCACCUCUUUCGCCCGCCGAUGGAUCCCUUGAUGGAGGAGUAACGGAAGCUUGAUUGUAGGAAGGAAUGAGCUAGCCGCGGGAUGCUGGGAUCACGGAGAAGGGGAUCGUCCGGGAUGUGGAAUGGAAGAUGACUGCGGACGGCUGGAUUGUGCGCGGGAGGGUGGGAUUCCGGGAGGUGGAUCUGGAUAAGGGGGCGCUACGGGAUCGCUGGGAGAAGCCGAUCAUCCGGGUCGCACGCGGAAGAGGAUGCCACGGAUUCUUUGCUGGGAGGAGGCAAUCGUCCGGGUCGCGUGAUCGAUGGGAGGGAGUUGAUCACGGAUGCGGUGCUUGGGAGAUCCGAUUGCUAAUUUGGAAAGGAAGCUAGGAUGCAGAACGGCACGAGAUGAGAUGCUGGCACUCGGAAGAGGAGGACGCAGCAUCUUGGAUCAUGCCUUGCAAUUGGACGGAAGAAGCUGGGGCUCGUGGAAUCGCUGGGAGAAGAAACGGAUGCUAGGAUCAUGGCUUGAAAUCGGACGUGGGAGGCUGAAACGGAAGGGAGGAGACGCAGAAGAGGCGGACGGGCGUAAGAUCCUUUCUUCUCCCCUAUUUCCGCACAGGAUGAAGCUGGAGAUUGCUGUGGGGAGGAUGGGCUGAUAUGGAAGAAAGCUGGGACAAGCAGAAGAAGGAUGCUGCCGUGGGAUUCAUGCUGGGAUGCCGACGAUCGGCUGGAUGCACAGGGUGCUGGAACGGGCGGCUCGCGAGCAUCGUGGAGAAUUGGAUCUAUAUUCCGGAAGGGCGCAGGUGCUAAUCCGGAAAGGAAGUAAUGCGAGGAUCAAU
rnacentral:lncRNA from 1 species